UACGUAGGGUCCGAGCGUUAAUCGGAAUUACUGGGCGUAAAGCGUGCGCAGGCGGUUUUGUAAGCCAGAUGUGAAAUCCCCGGGCUUAACCUAGGAAUUGCGCUUGAGACUGGAUAGCUUGGAGUGCGGCAGAGGGAGGUGGAAUUCCACGUGUAGCAGUGAAAUGCGUAGAGAUGUGGAGGAACACCGAUGGCGAAGGCAGCCUCCUGGGCCAGCACUGACGCUCAUGCACGAAAGCGUGGGGAGCAAACAGG
rnacentral:rRNA from 1 species